CCUACGGGGGGCUGCAGUGAGGAAUAUUGGUCAAUGGGCGGAAGCCUGAACCAGCCAAGUAGCGUGCGGGAUGAAGGCCCUACGGGUCGUAAACCGCUUUUGCACGGGGAUAACACCCUCCACUUGUGGAGGUCUGCAGGUACCGUGCGAAUAAGGGCCGGCUAAUUCCGUGCCAGCAGCCGCGGUAAUACGGAAGAUGCGAGCGUUAUCCGGAUUUAUUGGGUUUAAAGGGUGCGCAGGCGGCCUGUUAAGUCAGCGGUAAAAGCCCGGGGCUCAACCCCGGCGAGCCGUUGAAACUGGCGGGCUGGAGUUGGAGAGAAGUACGCGGAAUGCGCGGUGUAGCGGUGAAAUUCUUAGAUAUCGCGCAGAACCCCGAUUGCGAAGGCAGCGUACCGGCUCCACACUGACGCUGAGGCACGAAAGCGUGGGUAUCGAACAGGAUUAGAUACCCCAGUAGUC
rnacentral:rRNA from 1 species